GACGUAGGGCGCGAGCGUUGUCCGGAUUUAUUGGGCGUAAAGAGCUCGUAGGCGGCUCAUUGCGUCAACCGUGAAAACCAGCAGCUCAACUGUUGGCUUGCGGUUGAUACGGGUGGGCUGGGAGUUCGGUAGGGGAGACUGGAAUUCCUGGUGUAGCGGUGAAAUGCGCAGAUAUCAGGAGGAACACCAGUGGCGAAGGCGGCUUUCUGGACGGUUACUGACGCUGGAGACGCGAAAGCGUGGGGAGCAAACAGG
rnacentral:rRNA from 1 species